CAACCCUCCGACAGCCAGACAACCGCUCUUACCUCCUGAGCUAUGUCGCCCUAUGUCGCCCAUGGACAUGUACAUUAUAUCCUUCAGAUUGCUAAAACCAAUGUACUUUCAUGAAUUAUCUGCCUGCACCAACUGCUCUAGCAAAUGUUACCGUACAAGCAGCUGAGCAAAGUGAUGGAAGCCAAAACAAUUAAUUCAGUUAUUACAUUUCCUUUCCAGUUGUGUGUACUAUAAUGAAGCGACAACUUCAACUGGAUCACGACUGUUUGGCAAAAUAAGGGGAAAGUGCAAAAAAUAAGCAACACUAUCUCUGGGCACACAAGUGAAGUGGUCAGUCAUAAAUAAUUUUAUGUACACUGAAAUGAUCGGCAUAGGCCUCAGGCAACUAUUAAUCAAGGAAAAGUCCAUAUUAAAUAGCUUACAUCCCACUCUGACAGAUUCUUUACGUCAAAAAAAAAAGCUAAUAUUAAAAAAUUAUGCUUCCGACUGAGGGCGCUAUUUAUCAAGAAAAGAUAUUUGCAGUGCAAUGUUUUGAACCACUUUCAGACAUUCACCUUGCUAAAAGAACUUACGAAAGUAAUAUACGUGCUUAAAUGUUCCAUUCAGCUCGCAGCAAACAGAAUUUUUUUAUUUGACUGCUCAGGUAUGUGCAAAGUCCAAUGAACAACUUUCAAAAACUGAUGGGACAGGACUCCUUGUGACAUCACUUCCUCUAUCUGUUGACACAAUAGAGGUGUGAAAGGUAUGAAACAUGCACUGGAGAGAGAAAGAGAGAGAGAGAGAGAACCAGAGAAAGGUACAUGAACAAGAGACAAAAAAGAAAGAAAACAAAGAGUUAACAACAGAUAAGUAUUCAUAUAGCCACAACAUUCUUGAUCCCAUUGACUUGAUACCAGUGGACUGUUUAUGUUCAUUUGAUUGUUAAUAGAUCACUUGAGCUGCACCCUAAAUUGGUGCCUGUAGUUAUAAUGUGUGUUCAGCAGGAUAUCUAACAAGGGCAGAGUCGAGAGAGGGAAGAGAUAAGAAGAGCAGUCAGGUGGCCCACGUACAACACUGUCCUUCAUCCUGGACAAAAUGGAGUUGCUUCAUGUGCUGCUUGCGACUGUGCUCUUCGGUACAAGGUCCACCAGUGGAGUCUCAGUACUGCAGAAACGGCCAGAGAAUAGCCGAGAGAGGGAAUAGACUAGAGGAAGCUAUCAGGCUGUCCACACCACGUCCCUCCACCCUGGAUAGCAUGGAGCUGCUUUAUGUAUUUGUGGCUUUGCUCUUCAGUACCAAGUCCUCCGAUGGAGUCACAGUACUGCAGAAACGGCCAGAGAUACUCACGAGGACCGAGAAUGAGUCUGAGACCCUGCACUGUGAACACAACGAUGCUAACCACUACUAUAUGUUCUGGUACAGGCAGGACAGAGGCAGAGGAAUGCAUUUGAUGGCAUAUUCUCCUGGCCAAGGCAAUGUGAACAUAGAGCCGCCCUUCAACGCAUCCAAAUACGCGAUGGAGCGUCCUGAAGUGAAGAAGUCGUCUCUGCAGAUAAAGGAUUUGGCGAAUAGCCGAGAGAGGGAAUAGACUAGAGGAAGCUAUCAGGCUGUCCACACCACCUCCCUCCACCCUGGAUAACAUGGAGCUGCUUUAUGUAUUUGUGGCUUUGCUCUUCAGUACCAGUAAGAGUUCUCUAACAAAUAACUGCUUUAUUACAAAAACAAAUAGCAGAUCAUGUGGAGCUGAAGACUUCUGUGAUUAAAUUCCUUCCUG